rnacentral:rRNA from 1 species
ACGCACGCUGGCGGCGUGCUUAACACAUGCAAGUCGAACGGAAAGGCCCCUUUGGGGGUACUCGAGUGGCGAACGGGUGAGUAACACGUGAGUAACCUGCCCUUGACUUCGGGAUAACUUCAGGAAACUGGGGCUAAUACCGGAUAGGAAUCCUUGCUGCAUGGUGGGGGUUGGAAAGCUUCGGCGGUUUUGGAUGGACUCGCGGCUUAUCAGCUUGUUGGUGGGGUAGUGGCUUACCAAGGCUUUGACGGGUAGCCGGCCUGAGAGGGCGACCGGCCACAUUGGGACUGAGAUACGGCCCAGACUCCUACGGGAGGCAGCAGUGGGGAAUAUUGCACAAUGGGCGGAAGCCUGAUGCAGCAACGCCGCGUGCGGGAUGACGGCCUUCGGGUUGUAAACCGCUUUCAGCAGGGGCGAAGCUUGUGGUGACGGUACCUGCAGAAGAAGAACCGGCUAACUACGUG